rnacentral:rRNA from 1 species
UAACGCGUAGGUAACCUGCCUCGUAGCGGGGGAUAACUAUUGGAAACGAUAGCUAAUACCGCAUAACAAUGGGUGACUCAUGUCAUUUAUUUGAAAGGGGCAAAUGCUCCACUACAAGAUGGACCUGCGUUGUAUUAGCUAGUAGGUGAGGUAACGGCUCACCUAGGCGACGAUACAUAGCCGACCUGAGAGGGUGAUCGGCCACACUGGGACUGAGACACGGCCCAG